UGGGGAAUCUUGCACAAUGGGGGAAACCCUGAUGCAGCGACGCCGCGUGAACGAUGAAGCCCUUCGGGGUGUAAAGUUCUUUCGGCAGGAACGAUAAUGACGGUACCUGAAGAAGAAGCUGCGGCUAACUACGUGCCAGCAGCCGCGGUAAUACGUAGGCAGCAAACGUUGUUCGGAGUUACUGGGCGUAAAGAGUACGUAGGCGGUUUGCCAAGUUUGGUGUGAAAUCUCCUGGCUUAACUGGGAGGGUGCGCCGAAUACUGGCAGACUUGAGUAUUGGAGAGGAAAGCGGAAUUCCUGGUGUAGCGGUGAAAUGCGUAGAUAUCAGGAGGAACACCGGUGGUGUAGACAGCUUUCUGGACAAUCACUGACGCUGAGGUACGAAAGCGUGGGUAGCAAACAGGAUUAGAUACCCUGGUAGUCCCUGAGCGGGCUGGCAAGGCGCAU
rnacentral:rRNA from 1 species